rnacentral:rRNA from 1 species
AGCAGUCGCCGCGGUAAAACGUAGGGUGCAAGCGCUAAUCGGAAUUACUGGGCGUAAAGCGUGCGCAGGCGGUUAUAUAAGUCAGAUGUGAAAUCCCCGGGCUCAACCUGGGAACUGCAUUUGAGACUGUAUGGCUAGAGUGUGUCAGAGGGGGGUAGAAUUCCACGUGUAGCAGUGAAAUGCGUGGAUAUGUGGAGGAAUACCGAUGGCGAAGGCAGCCCCCUGGGAUAAUACUGACGCUCAUGCACGAAAGCGUGGGGAGCAAACAGGAUUAGAUACCCCAGUAGUCCCUGUCUCUUAUAA